UCCAGGAGAUGUUCCUGUGGCUAGUUACCUUGGGAUGGGUGGGAAACGUUUUUAUUCUCUUUCAGAGUGUAAGGAGGAUAAGCUAAAGGUAGGGCAUUGCUGCAAUAGUAUUUGCCUGUGACUUCGAUUUUUAGGUGGGGUUGGGUACUAAUCGGUCCCAUGUUAUUUGUUGUUAGAUGGGGUCCCUCAGCAUCUGGGGUGAAACCAUCUGAUGAGUUUUAUAGGUAGGAGAGGUACCCCCCCCCACACACACACAGGUCAGUCAUUUUCAGAUGGGGUCCCUCAGCAUCUGGGGUGAAACCAUCUGGUUCAAUCCUUAGCACAUGAGAAGCUUGUGUGUUGUCACUAGAAACUGCAGGUCAGUACACCAUCUCCUACGAUUAGCAGGCACCGGUUCCGUGUCUAGCAUAGUGGGUAGUACAGUUGAUGCCCUGUUCUGUCCUUGGGACUAAAUUCUGAGGUAGGUUUUUAAUUGCAUCACCGUCGGGACGACGUCGCAGAAACUUGGGGUGGAAUGUAGUGGGACAAGGUGAUUGACAGCUGUGUUCACCUAUCGGAGAGUAGGGCUCCCUACUUAAGGGCUGAUUGGUUGAUGCCGUGUAUGUGUCAUGUCUGAUCCCUCCCCCCGUGUCUGUUGACGGUCGUCACAGUGUGUGUUGGCUCCGAUGCUGGUGCCUGUUAGCACUGUUCCAUGGAUUUUAAGAGUGCUAGUCUCUCAGGUUGACUCCCUGUAUGCCAGGGCACUGGUGGCUGCCAUGACAGCUGUAUGCCGGUGUCCGUAAGGUGUCGUGCCUGGCGUAAGAAGCGGGUUCUCCCUCUCGUUCCGGGCUGUGAUUAGGUCUGCCGCCUACCUCUUCGCACUGUUUUAGCGCUGCUAUUCAGCUUGCAGUGCGCACGUGUUGACAUCAUUAAGGGGUGCUGCUGGUGUCCGGUCAAUCUUUUAAUAUCGCACCGUAGUGCUCAAAUCCAUAUGUGUUGGGGACAUGAACGUUUUUGUUUAAAGAUUAAGUGAUGCCCUGAAUGAGCUCUGUGAUUCCCCUAUCCAACCUAUUUAAUUAUUUUGUUUCUUUUGUUAACUUCUUAUUUUGUAUUUAUAAUUUGUUUGCUGCACGUGACUCCUCAUAGUUGUAACGUGCCCGGGUGUAUGGGCCUAUUGGACCUAGUAACACACUGUGACAGAUGGGAGUGGUAUGUGAAAUUAACCCUCCUAAUGUUUUAUUGUCUCUGUUUGUGUAUUGUAUUAAUGGUCACUAUAGAGGAGUUGUGAGAACGGUCAUGUGAGAAGUAGUUAAACCAUCUAUAAAAAGUGUUUAUAAUUUAUGUUCUGUUAAGUGUCUUUAACCUUUAUUUUUGGUUUAUCGCAGGAGCUGGGGUCCCACGGGUGACAGGAAAUUCUACAGUGGUGGUGGUGCUUCUCAUCGUGUGCUGUGUAACAUCUUGUGUGCUUCGUAGUGUGGUUUGAGUGCACUUUGGUGUGUGUGUGGUUGUGUGGAAGUGUGCAUGCUCGAACUAAACUCUGUCCUCUGCCGUUGGGAGCCUCAGCCCUGCUGGUAACAUUCUCUUUUCUUUAUUUGUUUUGAUUCAACCUUUUUGUUAUAAUUAAAAUUGUGUCUUUUCCUUUUAAAGGAAAGAAUGAGUACUUGGUGUGUCUUUUUAAUCUACACUCUAAAAAAAAAGGUUCAUUGAGGUUCUAUAUAGAACCAUGGGGUUCUUUACUUGGCCAAUAGAACCUUUUACCAAAAAAAGGGUUCCAUAUAGAGCCCUUGGAGGGCAAAGAACCCAUUUUAUUAAAAUGGUUCUAUAAUUCACGUUUGUGACUGAAGUGUAAACUAAAGAUUACACAAUAAUUACAGACCUACACAACUCAUUUACAAACCUACACAACUCAUUCACAAACCUUUUUGUGUCAAUAAGCUGUGGUCAAAUAAAGAGAGAGUCAACAAAUAGGCUAUUCAUAUUUAUUGUAUGAUUUAUUUCCUGUGAGCUUUUUAAUGCAAGUUUGUACAUUAGCAUGAAACUUACAGUGCAGUUUGCGUUUUUGGUGAAUAACCAGGUGUUUUCUUUAUUUUGUACAUUCUAUAUUGUCAAUGUUUAAUUUAACCUGAAGGGGCAUUAAAAACAAAUAAUCGCAAAAGUGCCCUCUGGUGGCGUAUAUAUGCGUUGCACCAUAAGCGAAGAUGAGCCUCCAGACGUGACAGGUUUUUUUUCAAACUGAGGAGUUCGGACUCCAGACCGGCAUUUCUGCUUGUUGG